AUUAAGGAUGACGUCAUGAGCAUAGUUUUCUUAACGUUCGCGUCUAUCCGUCUACAUUCCCCUGACCUCCGCCCGUUGACAGGAUUCGAACCAAGCCCAGAAAUGUCUGACUUCUCAGAAGACCAGAUCAUUGAGUUCAAGGAGGCCUUCCUGCUGUUUGACAGGACGGGCGAUGGGAAGAUCAGCUACAGCCAGUGUGGUGAUGUCAUGCGGGCCCUCGGCCAGAACCCCGUCAACGCUGAGGUCCUCAAGGUCCUGGGCAACCCCAAGUCAGAAGAAAUGAACCACAAAAUGCUGGACUUUGAGCAGUUCCUGCCCAUGCUACAGGCCAUCGCUAAAAACAAGGACCAGGGCUCCUUUGAGGACUUUGUGGAGGGUCUGCGUGUCUUUGACAAGGAGGGCAACGGCACAGUGAUGGGCGCUGAGCUGCGCCACGUCCUCACAACGCUCGGUGAGAAAAUGACAGAAGAGGAGGUGGAGACUCUGUUAGCAGGACACGAAGAUGCCAACGGCUGCAUCAACUACGAAGUCUUUGUCCGCCACAUCAUGUCCGGCUGAGCGGCGAGUACGAGCAGACCCCCUAAAGCCCCCCCCCCCUCUGUUGUCUCCUACCCCAGCAAACUCGUCCGGAUGGUGAUGAGUGGUUGAAGAUUAAGAACACAUCCGGAUCAUUUUAUUCCCAAAUGUUUUUUUUCUUCUAUUAUAUACGCAACGUCUGUCUCACCCCCAUCCACUGUCAUUCCCCACCCAACUCUUGUUAGCCCUCGUUUUGUCAUAUUUUUUGUAUUUUCUUUCAGAAGUGCCUUUUCUGUGUCUGAGUUGAAGAGCCCCUUUUCAUUUCACUUCAAAAUAUCAUCCAACCACGGAGGCGCAUGCUAUCAUGCCUGGCUCGUGGACAGAAUCGGCAAUAACAUUCCCUUGAUUAUUCCAUACAUUCCCAUCACCCACCCUGUCACUCAACCCUUGUCAGCCCCACCACCAAAUAGCUGUUUUUUUAUACGGAGGAGAUGCAUGUUCAUUGGCUGAGACCAUGCUGUAAUGUGGGUUUUACCAGGCCAACCAACCAACCAAUCAUGAAAUUACAGAUUUACUGUCAUGUAUAUGUUAUAACGAACGGUAUUUAAUAAAAAUCCCCAGUUUCUGAAAAUAAUGUAUUUUUUCUUUUUAAUAAAACGAUGGUGAAGCAACA